rnacentral:rRNA from 1 species
CGAGCUAAUACCGUAUGCCCUCUUCUGAUCGCAUGGUCGGAUGAGGAAAGAUUUAUCGCUCCGGGAGAGUCUCGCGGCCUAUCAGCUAGUUGGUGGGGUAACGGCCCACCAAGGCAUCGACGGGUAGCUGGUCUGAGAGGACGAUCGGCCACACUGGGACUGAGACACGGCCCAGACUCCUACGGGAGGCAGCAGUGGGGAAUCUUGCGCAAUGGGCGAAAGCCUGACGCAGCAACGCCGCGUGCGGGAUGAAGGCCUUCGGGUUGUAAACCGCUUUCAGCAGGGAAGAAAUUGACGGUACCUGCAGAAGAAGCCCCGGCCAACUACGUGCCAGCAGCCGCGGUAAUAAUCGGAUCCCGG